rnacentral:lncRNA from 1 species
UACCUCUUUGUACAUUCUCGGCAAGCUGCAAGUUCCUUUAGACAACACCCACACCAGCCAGCCCAAGGCCCCCGCCUCCUGCCUCCUGUUUCCUGUCUCCUACUGCUCUUGCUCAGCUCCACCCCAAAUGGGGGCUCACCGUGGGACCCCGUGCUCCGUCUGAUCUCCGCUUCUUGAUUUGAUUCAUUCUCAUCAGUUCUAGUCCCCUCUCAAGGAACAACCGGGGAGCAGUUUGAGGAGCAUCUGUAUCUGCUUAGAAAGUGUCUUGAGCAGAGUUCUCCACUGCUUCCCUUAGGAUUUCAGGCUUCCUCGGCGGUCUGACCUUCAGUGAUCUCCAAAGUGGAUAUCUUAAGCUUCACGGAGAUCAUUUCCAUCUAUUCCAGGACCCAGGGGCAAAGGAUGCAUGUGCAUAUGUGUGCCUGUGUGCGUUGCAGAGAGCUCGGGAACAAACAGGACACACCCAUGAUUUAGGUUGUAUUCUCCAUUUCUACUUUUGGAACAAUUUCCUUUCUUUGGGUUCUGUAUAGUUAGUUAUUUAGCAGAACUAUUUGCUUUAAAGUUAUUAUUUUUGAAACAAAAAAUUUCAAACCUUUUUUUUUCCCCCUCUUUUAAUAGCACAAAGUAGCUUGGAUGAUUAUAGCAAACUUUCAAAGUCAUUGCCUCCAAGUGUCCUUUUCACGGUAGCAGGAUUUUCACAGUAGCAGCCCUGAAAUCUGACUAUUAAAAGAGUUCUUGCUAAGAAUUGUGAGAAUUGUGUCCUUACAUAUUCUGAGAGUGUUAUGGUUUGAAUUUUGUUCCCUUGGAACUCAAAGUACGGCCUUAGUUGGAAACAGAGUCUCUGUAUAUGCACUCAAGGUAAGAUUGUCACAUGAUUGUGCUGGUAUAAGGAGAGAGGGGGCACAGAGACACCAGGGAGAAGACAGACUUGGCCAUGUGUAAUCAGGGGCCAGGAUUGAGGUGACACCUGUAAAAGCCAACUGUGCUAAAUAUGGCCAGAACCACUGGAGGGACACGCUCUUCCCUGGUCUUCAGAGUCACCGCGGUCCUGCUAACAUUUACAUCUUGGAUGUUUUGUUUCCAGGACUGUGUGAGAGAACAUAUUUCCAAAGUUUCAAUCCUUCCAUGUCUGUGGUACUUAGCUUAUGGUCACCCUAAGAACUCAUCAUGGAACACAGGACUUCAGCUAUGUAGGGAACAUGUCCACCAUCGAUUGUCCUUGCCAUGGCCGGCCAUCUAAAGGAGAAUUGUCAAACGAUUAAUAAUACCAGUCCACAUUUACUCAGCACUAAGUUAGUCCAGUUCUUGUCAGAACUUGAUGUCUGUCAGCUGACUUCAUCCUACAGCUACCUGUGUGAGGUGAGACACCUUUGACAGGUGAGGAAACUGAAUAGUGUGCCCAGAGUUACAGAGCUGGGGGAACUACGGUCUGAACUCAGUUUGACUCCAGAGCCUUCUCUUGUACCCAUUGUUCCCUUCCUGUGUACUCCUUCCAGAAUUCUACCAUGUGGUGCUUUUUUAAUUUUGGAGGGGUAAAGACAGAAGGAAGCAAACGACCACUGAUGAGCCCCAUUGCAAGUACACGGUGUGUGCAUAUGGUGCACCUUACUUCAUUCCUUAACAUUCAGUCCUUCCAGGUAGUUAUUCGUGUGACCCAGAGACAAAGAGACUGAGGUCACACGGAGAAACCUGCCCUUGGUGAGUAGUUUGCAAGUGAUUUGAACCUGAAACCAAUAAACAGCAUUAUGUGCGGGGUGUACCUUCUCUUUAUAAUAACCUUGUAAGGUAGGUGACUUGGGGAGACACAAGAAUGAAGUAGCAGAAAUGAAAAGAAAGUCUAGAGUGGGCUUUGAGAUAGUCAGCGACCACCACAGGGACAAAGGGCAGAUGCAGUCCUGAGACCUUAACUCAUGACCAAUAUGUUCCCCAUUAAAAGUACCACGGAAACUGAAGGAGCCCAAGCCCCAAUUAUAACAGGGACGUAGAGGCCACCUGGGAUAAAGUGCUGACUCUUCACUGCCCUGUGGGUAGCUGGAAGCAGGACAGAUCUUGGUAUCUCUGCCUUCAUUUUCCAUCUGUCCCCUUUGCCUUCAAUGUUGGAUCAGAUUCCUGCUCAGCUCUGCACAUGGGCAUGCUAAUCAUUUAAGGAGUGUUGAUCUAAAACUGAUAAUGCACCCUUUCCAGGCUGAAGAGACCAAGACAAGACUAACUCAAGUAUUUUCAACAGAUCGUCAACUGCCAGCUUUCACAACAUCCUGUUCCAGAUCCUUGGAGUAGCCUAGAAGUCUCUAGAACCACCUAGAAAAACCAGAGCGGAAGUAAUGAUCACCAGAACCUGGUCCAUCCCUGCCACCCCAUAAAAUGCCUGUUACCUCCCUGUUUGGGGCUCAGCUUGAUCACUUUCUCCCUCAGGGCUGUCCCCCGUCUCCUGCAGGUCAGACCCAGCAAUUAAAGCUCUGCCUGUGUUCCGGUUCCUUGGCCCAGCGUCCUUUCUGUCAUCCCUGGGUAAGAAGUUCCUGCGUCAGUUCCAGCUGCGGAAGGCAGUGCCUGCCCCAGGGAACCAGCAGGAUGUAGAUCUAUCCAUCAGGCUGGACUUGCUUUGGUUAAGAGAGAGGGUGGGAAAACGGAAGAAAGGGCCGAGCCUGGGAUCACAGUAGCAUUGCAUGAAGGAGAGGAGAUGAAGUGCAUGAGGAUAUGGCUCCUGCUGACUUCUGCAGCAGCAUGACUGAUCUCCAGGUAGUCAAGCUGCUUUCUCUGUGCUUCUAGGUCAGCUUGUUCAUGGAGCCUGGUGGAGGCUGCCAUGUGCAGCUGGUGGGGUGAGCAGCCAGUGUUCAGGACUAAACUGUUCAAGAUUUGGAGCCCACUGGCUCUCGCAGGUGCUUGGGUUGCCCGUGGGCCCUUUGGCCAAGGAGGGAGAUCCCUGGUAUCAAUGGCGGUGUCAGCAUACCUGGAAUUGUCAUUUUCCAGGAGAGAAUCUGAAACUUACAGAGUGCCAGUACCUUGUCCAGGUUAAAUAGUAAAUAAAUGUCAGCUCUAGGGCACGAAGUCAGGUGUAUCUGGAGUGUUAAACCACGCAGCAGAACAUAGCAAUGCUCUCUCUUGCAUGCACGAGUUUCCAUGGGCCUUCCUUUUGCAAUUUGUACAUAAGCAGUUCCUUCUUCUGUUAUCUAAACUUUGUAAGAAGAGAUUCCAGAAGCUUGUGUAGUGGAGAAGAACAUCAGAUGUUGGCCACACGAGAUUUAGAAACUACUUCUGAUAAUUUUAGCUUCUUU